GAUGAACGCUGGCGGCGUGCCUAAUACAUGCAAGUCGAGCGAACGGACGAGGAGCUUGCUUCUCUGAUGUUAGCGGCGGACGGGUGAGUAACACGUGGAUAACCUACCUAUAAGACUGGGAUAACUUCGGGAAACCGGAGCUAAUACCGGAUGAUAUUUUGAACCGCAUGGUUCAAAAGUGAAAGACGGUCUUGCUGUCACUUAUAGAUGGAUCCGCGCUGCAUUAGCUAGUUGGUAAGGUAACGGCUUACCAAGGCAACGAUGCAUAGCCGACCUGAGAGGGUGAUCGGCCACACUGGAACUGAGACACGGUCCAGACUCCUACGGGAGGCAGCAGUAGGGAAUCUUCCGCAAUGGGCGAAAGCCUGACGGAGCAACGCCGCGUGAGUGAUGAAGGUCUUCGGAUCGUAAAACUCUGUUAUUAGGGAAGAACAUAUGUGUAAGGAACUGUGCACAUCUUGACGGUACCUAAUCAGAAAGCCACGGCUAACUACGUG
rnacentral:rRNA from 1 species